rnacentral:rRNA from 1 species
CCUACGGGGGGCAGCAGUGGGGAAUAUUGCACAAUGGGCGCAAGCCUGAUGCAGCCAUGCCGCGUGUGUGAAGAAGGCCUUCGGGUUGUAAAGCACUUUCAGCGGGGAGGAAGGCGUUAAGGUUAAUAACCUUGGCGAUUGACGUUACCCGCAGAAGAAGCACCGGCUAACUCCGUGCCAGCAGCCGCGGUAAUACGGAGGGUGCAAGCGUUAAUCGGAAUUACUGGGCGUGAAGCGCACGCAGGCGGUCUGUCAAGUCGGAUGUGAAAUCCCCGGGCUCAACCUGGGAACUGCAUUCGAAACGUGCAGGCUAGAGUCUUGUAGAGGGGGGUAGAAUUCCAGGUGUAGCGGUGAAAUGCGUAGAGAUCUGGAGGAAUACCGGUGGCGAAGGCGGCCCCCUGGACAAAGACUGGCGCUCAGGUGCGAAAGCGUGGGGAGCAAACAGGAUUAGAUACCCCAGUAGUC